AUACGGAGGGUGCGAGCGUUAAUCGGAAUUACUGGGCGUAAAGCGCGCGUAGGCGGCUUUGUAAGUCGGAUGUGAAAGCCCUGGGCUCAACCUGGGAAUGGCAUUCGAUACUGCAGAGCUAGAGUAUGGUAGAGGGAAGUGGAAUUUCCGGUGUAGCGGUGAAAUGCGUAGAUAUCGGAAGGAACACCAGUGGCGAAGGCGACUUCCUGGGCCAAUGCUGACGCUGAGGUGCGAAAGCGUGGGGAGCAAACAGGAGUAGAUACCCGUGUAGUCC
rnacentral:rRNA from 1 species